rnacentral:lncRNA from 1 species
AUGUGAAUGGAUCCGGGCUGUUGGAGAUUUUGUUCUGAUCUUUUUUGAAUGAAAGUAAAUAAAAGUAAAAAAUAGAACAAAAUUAACUCGUCCUGAAUCCUAUGACACCCUAAUAGUCUCACAUCGAAUAAUUAUGGCUAGAUGUGGAAGUAUAUAAGUUUGAUCGGGCUAGACAUAAUAACUAGGUUUAAGCAUUUUUGGCCGAUGGUUAGGCCCAACGAGUUCGCCCAAAAUCUGACUAGAUGUGGGACUCUAUAAGUUUAAUUGGGCUAGACAUAAUAACUAGGCUUAAGCAUUUUGGGCCGGUGGUUGGACCCAAUGAGUUCGCCCAAAAUCUACCCCACUCUGCUAAAAAAUAAA